rnacentral:misc_RNA from 1 species
UAAGCAAAGAUUCUCUAACUAAAGGACGAUUGAAAACGAAGUCAAAAAGAUCUAUCUGAUGCUCUGUGGGUCAAAUAAACUAAUAUUUACUGGAGGAGGGAAAUUUCACUAUUUGCUUUUUAGAUGUUGCAGCAAUGAACGUGCUGUGUCCUGUGAUGAAGAAACAUGCUUUGGCCUGAAGUAUUUGCUAUUUGUUGAAGUGAAACUGUUUUUGCAGGUUUUCUG